AACUUUUUAUUUUUGUCCUCACUGGCCUCCAAGUUUUCUAGGAUGAUGCAAUGUCCAGCCAUCAACACAUUUGUGAAGGAAUUUUUACUCCCCAAAAGAGCGCCCCCCCCCAUGGCAGGAGAAAAAAGUCCAUUUUUUCUUGUCCCCUAAGGUGAAAAUACAUAUUGUUGAGAUUCACGCCUAUACGCUUUGUCAUAUUGACACAAAAUUUGACAAUCACGUGCCUUGCCUGGUAUCAUUUUUUUCAGCACAACCUCACCUGUGCGAAUUUACAGUUAUUUUAUCAUGUUGACAUACUGAAUUUACACAAUGGACCCAAAUUCACACACAAAACAUAAAAUCCGAGUGGAAAAAAGUAACAUUUUUACUGUGAAAACCACAAAUAUGUGUGAUGAACUGUUUUUAAAACUUGAACUUCAAAUAAAAAUUGUAAACUUCAAAACAUAUGCAAAUUUUAAACAAAGAACAUAGUGAUUUACCUCUAUUUACAUCAAAAUGCAGGCAAUGGCCCAGGCGUUCUUUGUAAAAUUAUUUACAAAACACUGUAUAGUCUCACAAAUGUCACUUUUUAUUUAUGCCACUACAAAAAAACAUGAUGUAAAUGAUGCAUGAUGUAAAACAUGAUGUAAAAAACUUGUGUAGAUCCUCCUCUAUGUCAGUCCAUGUGUAAUUUUUCCAUAAUUCUUUGUUUUUUGCAGCAUUUUUGUUAGUGUAACUGCAGAUUGUGCUGACAGUGUCUAUGGCACAAAAAAAAAAAAAAUUAAAAUGCCUCAACAUGAACCCUUGGUGGUCUCUGAGGGUGAAACCUGCUAACUGCUGCAGCUCUGUCAGCUUCAGUCUCCCAUGCAGAGCUCUGAGCGCAUGUGUGGCUCUGCACCCUUAGCAGCGUUGCUAACUCCUCAGUAAGGAAAGCCUGCUUCAUGUCAGAGUCUCUAAACUCCAGAAGAAGUCGAUAAAAGUCCCUUUCUUUCUAAAAAAAAGUCGUUAGGGGGUCUGAAAAGUCAUUGAAUCUAACUACAAAGUCGCUAGGUUUGCAACUACGUGUCCCAGACUGCAUCCCUGCUGAGAGUCCCUCCCUCGUUUCUCAUGUUGCAGGAAGAACGUAAGCGCCCGCCCCUUGUCAAUCAGUCACCAUAUAAUUUUGGAUUGGUUGUUGUGGUGAAGUUUUCCACCAAUAGGAGAGAUGUUGUGGUGUGUUUUUUUUUUCUUUUGGCAAGCCUUUUCCGCCUGUAAGACCUGUCGCUAAUGUCUGCAUGCUAUGUUUUCCUGUCUCAUACAGCGCGAUCGAGCGCCGAACGUGAUCAAAAUAAGCAGAAAAAAAGUAUCGCGGACAUAAUUUAUCAUAACUCUGGUUUUAUUUGGCCUAUCAACACAAUUUAAAAACUGGUAUAUAGGUUGAGGUCCUCACUUUUGAGAUAAGUUGAAACGGAGAGUCAACGAGGCUCCGUCUUGCAGCUACAUCCGGUUAAAUAUGUCAUGUGACUUGAACGCACACACAGACACACACACACGCACACACACACACACACACACACACACACACACACACACACACACACACACACACACACACACACACACUCAGAGUCUGGUUUUUAGCACCUGCAAAAACAUGCUAUUUACAUAUUUGACAAGAAUGCAGAGGCUCCUUUUGCCCCUGAAAAAAAUCAAAUUUCAAACACAACUUGACUGGUCAUUUCUCCAAAAGACAACCAUGAAGCUCCAUCCAAACCUGAAGCAGGCAGUUGGUGCAUGUGUACAGUAACCUGAGGGGAGUGAGGUGAGUGCUUCUGAGGAGAACAUGAGCAGUGAAGAUUCACCUUGGAGCUAGAACAGAGACAUGCACAUGAUUAUACAGGGGCAGGGGCUCAAGUUUUUUCCAGUCGUUUAUACAAUAUGGAAAUUAAUGUGAAAUUAAAACACAAAGUAUUAAUAGAAAGGUAAUGACUGUCCUGUGUAGGUGACAGUGAUAUCCAAUAGGCUAGGCACUCACGAGGCUGGCUGUGGCAAGUGUAAGUGAAAGCAACACGCACUGGCAGGAAGAACAGCAAACGCCGAUGAAGGAAAAGGGUCUUUGCAGUGAUGGGCGUUACCAGAGAGGGCGAUGGCCAGAGGACACAAAUGGGACGGGAAGGCAGCACGUUGGGGGGGGGGGGGGGGACGCGACACGGCUCGGGCCCGCCAGUGCCCCAACGGGGUCCUAGUUCUUCUUUUUCCUCCCCUUUGAACUGGAAAAUGGCCCACUUCCCACUGGCGAAAACUCAGGAAAUUUGGCAGGACGACCGGGCCUGGUGAAAAAUUCGAUAUUCUGAAGUCGCCCAAACAAUAAAAUGCAAAAUGGCUCCAUAGCGCCCCCUAAGGUGGAAAUUCACACUAUUGACUGUCACGCCUGUACGCUUUGUCAUAUUGACACAAAAAUUGACACACAUAUGUAUCUCAAUAAGAUCUACAAAAAAGUCAGUGCGGCCGUAUCUGUCAAAUGUACGGUUAAAGGGUUAUUUCGCAUUUUUUUCCGAUCCGCACACAUUGGAAUUUCGCUAACUCCUCCGAAGGCUUUCGUUCCAAAGGCACCACAUUUGCUCAGGCCAAUCUACACCCCGUGGCCAUUAAAAGUUAUCAAAAUCAUGACGCUGCACCCCAAGGUUUAGGUUCUAGGGGGCGCCAAAGAUAACACUAAAAUCCACAUAUUUCAAAGUCUUAUAACUUUUUAUUUUUGUCCUCUCUGGCCUCCAAGUUUUCUAGGAUGAUGCAAUGUCCAGCCAUCAACACAUUUGUGAAGGAAUUUUUACUCCCCAAAAGAGCGCCCCCCCAUGGCAGGAGAAAAAAGUCCAUUUUUUCUUGUCCCCUAAGGUGAAAAUACACAUUGUUGACUGUCACGCCUUUACGCUUUGUCAAAAUGACACAAAAAUUGACACACACAUGUAACUCAAUAAGAUCUACGAAAAAGUCAAUGCGCGCGUAUCUGUCAAAUGUACGGUUAAAGGGUUAUUCCGCAUUUUUUGCCGAUCCGCACACAUUGGAAUUUCGCUAACUCCUCCGAAGGCUUUCUGUCCACCGGCACCACAUUUGCUCAGGCCAAUCUACACCCCAUGGCCAUUAAAAGUUAUUCAAAUCAUGACGCUGCACCCCACGGUUUAGGUUCUAGGGGGCGCCAAAGACAACCCUAAAAUCCACAUAUUUAAAAGUCUUAUAACUUUUUAUUUUUGUCCUCACUGGCCUCCAAGUUUUCUAGGAUGAUGCAAUGUCCAGCCAUCAACACAUUUGUGAAGGAAUUUUUACUCCCCAAAAGAGCGCCCCCCCAUGGCAGGAGAAAAAAGUCCAUUUUUUCUUGUCCCCUAAGGUGAAAAUACAUAUUGUUGAGAUUCACGCCUAUACGCUUUGUCAUAAUGACACAAAAUUUGACAAUCACGUGCCUUGCCUGGUAUCAUUUUUUUUCAGCACAACCUCACCUGUGCGAAUUUACAGUUAUUUUAUCAUGUUGACAUACUGAAUUUACACAAUGGACCCAAAUUCACACACAAAACAUAAAAUCCGAGUGGAAAAAAGUAACAUUUUUACUGUGAAAACCACAAAUAUGUGUGAUGAACUGUUUUUAAAACUUAAACUUCAAAUAAAAAUUGUAAACUUCAAAACAUAUGCAAAUUUUUAACAAAGAACAUAGUGAUUUACCUCUAUUUACAUCAAAAUGCAGGCAAUGGCCCAGGCGUUCUUUGUAAAAUUAUUUACAAAACACUGUAUAGUCUCACAAAUGUCACUUUUUAUUUAUGCCACUACAAAAAAACAUGAUGUAAAUGAUGCAUGAUGUAAAACAUGAUGUAAAAAACUUGUGUAGAUCCUCCUCUAUGUCAGUCCAUGUGUAAUUUUUCCAUAAUUCUUUGUUUUUUGCAGCAUUUUUGUUAGUGUAACUGCAGAUUGUGCUGACAGUGUCUAUGGCACAAAAAAAAAAAAAAAAUUAAAAUGCCUCAACAUGAACCCCUGGUGGUCUCUGAGGGUGAAACCUGCUAACUGCUGCAGCUCUGUCAGCUUCAGUCUCCCAUGCAGAGCUCUGAGCGCAUGUGUGGCUCUGCACCCUUAGCAGCGUUGCUAACUCCUCAGUAAGGAAAGCCUGCUUCAUGUCAGAGUCUCUAAACUCCAGAAGAAGUCGAUAAAAGUCCCUUUCUUUCUAAAAAAAAGUCGUUAGGGGGUCUGAAAAGUCAUUGAAUCUAACAACAAAGUCGCUAGGUUUGCAACUACGUGUCCCAGACUGCAUCCCUGCUGAGAGUCCCUCCCUCCCUUCUCAUGUUGCAGGAAGAACGUAAGCGCCCUCCCCUUGUCAAUCAGUCACCAUAUAAUUUUGGAUUGGUUGUUGUGGUGAAGUUUUCCACCAAUAGGAGAGAUGUUGUGGUGUGUUUUUUUUCUUUUGGCAAGCCUUUUCCGCCUGUAAGACCUGUCGCUAAUGUCUGCAUGCUAUGUUUUCCUGUCUCAUACAGCGCGAUCGAGCGCCGAACGUGAUCAAAAUAAGCAGAAAAAAAGCAUCGCGGACAUAAUUUAUCAUAACUCUGGUUUUAUUUGGCUUAUCAACACAAUUUAAAAACUGGUAUAUAGGUUGAGGUCCUCACUUUUGAGAUAAGUUGAAACGGAGAGUCAACGAGGCUCCGUCUUGCAGCUACAUCCGGUUAAAUAUGUCAUGUGACUUGAACGCACACACAGACACACACACACGCACACACACACACACACACACACACACACACACUCAGAGUCUGGUUUUUAGCACCUGCAAAAACAUGCUAUUUACAUAUUUGACAAGAAUGCAGAGGCUCCUUUUGCCCCUGAAAAAAAUCAAAUUUCAAACACAACUUGACUGGUCAUUUCUCCAAAAGACAACCAUGAAGCUCCAUCCAAACCUGAAGCAGGCAGUUGGUGCAUGUGUACAGUAACCUGAGGGGAGUGAGGUGAGUGCUUCUGAGGAGAACAUGAGCAGUGAAGAUUCACCUUGGAGCUAGAACAGAGACAUGCACAUGAUUAUACAGGGGCAGGGGCUCAAGUUUUUUCCAGUCGUUUAUACAAUAUGGAAAUUAAUGUGAAAUUAAAACCCAAAGUAUUAAUAGAAAGGUAAUGACUGUCCUGUGUAGGUGACAGUGAUAUCCAAUAGGCUAGGCACUCACGAGGCUGGCUGUGGCAAGUGUAAGUGAAAGCAACACGCACUGGCAGGAAGAACAGCAAACGCCGAUGAAGGAAAAGGGUCUUUGCAGUGAUGGGCAUUACCAGAGAGGGCGAUGGCCAGAGGACACAAAUGGGACGGGGAGGCAGCACGUUGGGGGGGGGGGAGCGCGACACGGCUCGGGCCCGCCAGUGCCCCAACGGGGUCCUAGUUCUUUCUUUCUUUCUUUAGGGCCCGAGCGUAGCUGCUAAGCAGCUGCGAGAGCCCUCUUGUUCCUGUAGUUUCCUUCUUUUGUUAUUAGGGCCCGAGCCAGCUGCAGAGCAGCCGGGCGUAGGCCCUAUUAUUCCCCAAGUGGUUUUUCUUUGUUUCUUUCUUUCUUUUUUCUUUUUCCUCCCCUUUGAACUGGAAAAUGGCCCACUUCCCACUGGCGAAAACUCAUGAAAUUUGGCAGGACGACCGGGCCUGGUGAAAAAUUUGAUAUUCUGAAGUCGCCCAAACAAUAAAAUGCAAAAUGGCUCCAUAGCGCCCCCUAAGGUGAAAAUUCACACUAUUGACUGUCACGCCUGUACGCUUUGUCAUAUUGACACAAAAAUUGACACACAUAUGUAUCUCAAUAAGAUCUACAAAAAAGUCAGUGCGGCCGUAUCUGUCAAAAUUACGGUUAAAGGGUUAUUUCGCAUUUUUUGCCGAUCCGCACACAUUGGAAUUUCGCUAACUCCUCCGAAGGCUUUCGUUCCACCGGCACCACAUUUGCUCAGGCCAAUCUACACCCCGUGGCCAUUAAAAGUUAUCAAAAUCAUGACGCUGCACCCCAAGGUUUAGGUUCUAGGGGGCGCCAAAGAUAACACUAAAAUCCACAUAUUUAAAAGUCUUAUAACUUUUUAUUUUUGUCCUCACUGGCCUCCAAGUUUUCUAGGAUGAUGCAAUGUCCAGCCAUCAACACAUUUGUGAAGGAAUUUUUACUCCCCAAAAGAGCGCCCCCCCAUGGCAGGAGAAAAAAGUCCAUUUUUUCUUGUCCCCUAAGGUGAAAAUACACAUUGUUGAGUGUCACGCCUAUACGCUUUGUCAAAAUGACACAAAAAUUGACACACACAUGUAACUCAAUAAGAUCUACGAAAAAGUCAAUGCGCGCGUAUCUGUCAAAUGUACGGUUAAAGGGUUAUUCCGCAUUUUUUGCCGAUCCGCACACAUUGGAAUUUCGCUAACUCCUCCUAAGGCUUUCGUUCCACCGGCACCACAUUUGCUCAGGCCAAUCUACCCCCCAUGGCCAUUAAAAGUUAUCAAAAUCAUGACGCUGCACCCCACGGUUUAGGUUCUAGGGGGCCCAAAGAUAACCCUAAAAUCCACAUAUUUAAAAGUCUUAUAACUUUUUAUUUUUGUCCUCACUGGCCUCCAAGUUUUCUAGGAUGAUGCAAUGUCCAGCCAUCAACACAUUUGUGAAGGAAUUUUUACUCCCCAAAAGAGCGCCCCCCAUGGCAGGAGAAAAAAGUCCAUUUUUUCUUGUCCUCUAAGGUGAAAAUACAUAUUGUUGAGAUUCACGCCUAUACGCUUUGUCAUAUUGACACAAAAUUUGACAAUCACGUGCCUUGCCUGGUAUCAUUUUUUUCAGCACAACCUCACCUGUGCGAAUUUACAGUUAUUUUAUCAUGUUGACAUACUGAAUUUACACAAUGGACCCAAAUUCACACACAAAACAUAAAAUCCGAGUGGAAAAAAGUAACAUUUUUACUGUGAAAACCACAAAUAUGUGUGAUGAACUGUUUUUAAAACUUAAACUUCAAAUAAAAAUUGUAAACUUCAAAACAUAUGCAAAUUUUUAACAAAGAACAUAGUGAUUUACCUCUAUUUACAUCAAAAUGCAGGCAAUGGCCCAGGCGUUCUUUGUAAAAUUAUUUACAAAACACUGUAUAGUCUCACAAAUGUCACUUUUUAUUUAUGCCACUACAAAAAAACAUGAUGUAAAUGAUGCAUGAUGUAAAACAUGAUGUAAAAAACUUGUGUUGAUCCUCCUCUAUGUCAGUCCAUGUGUAAUUUUUCCAUAAUUCUUUGUUUUUUGCAGCAUUUUUGUUAGUGUAACUGCAGAUUGUGCUGACAGUGUCUAUGGCACAAAAAAAAAAAUAAAUUAAAAUGCCUCAACAUGAACCCCUGGUGGUCUCUGAGGGUGAAACCUGCUAACUGCUGCAGCUCUGUCAGCUUCAGUCUCCCAUGCAGAGCUCUGAGCGCAUGUGUGGCUCUGCACCCUUAGCAGCGUUGCUAACUCCUCAGUAAGGAAAGCCUGCUUCAUGUCAGAGUCUCUAAACUCCAGAAGAAGUCGAUAAAAGUCCCUUUCUUUCUAAAAAAAAAGUCGUUAGGGGGUCUGAAAAGUCAUUGAAUCUAACAACAAAGUCGCUAGGUUUGCAACUACGUGUCCCAGACUGCAUCCCUGCUGAGAGUCCCUCCCUCCCUUCUCAUGUUGCAGGAAGAACGUAAGCGCCCGCCCCUUGUCAAUCAGUCACCAUAUAAUUUUGGAUUGGUUGUUGUGGUGAAGUUUUCCACCAAUAGGAGAGAUGUUGUGGUGUGUUUUUUUUUUCUUUUGGCAAGCCUUUUCCGCCUGUAAGAGCUGUCGCUAAUGUCUGCAUGCUAUGUUUUCCUGUCUCAUACAGCGCGAUCGAGCGCCGAACGUGAUCAAAAUAAGCAGAAAAAAAGUAUCGCGGACAUAAUUUAUCAUAACUCUGGUUUUAUUUGGCCUAUCAACACAAUUUAAAAACUGGUAUAUAGGUUGAGGUCCUCACUUUUGAGAUAAGUUGAAACGGAGAGUCAACGAGGCUCCGUCUUGCAGCUACAUCCGGUUAAAUAUGUCAUGUGACUUGAACGCACACACAGACACACACACACGCACACACGCACACACACACACACACACACACACACACACACACACACACACACACACACACUCAGAGUCUGGUUUUUAGCACCUGCAAAAACAUGCUAUUUACAUAUUUGACAAGAAUGCAGAGGCUCCUUUUGCCCCUGAAAAAAAUCAAAUUUCAAACACAACUUGACUGGUCAUUUCUCCAAAAGACAACCAUGAAGCUCCAUCCAAACCUGAAGCAGGCAGUUGGUGCAUGUGUACAGUAACCUGAGGGGAGUGAGGUGAGUGCUUCUGAGGAGAACAUGAGCAGUGAAGAUUCACCUUGGAGCUAGAACAGAGACAUGCACAUGAUUAUACAGGGGCAGGGGCUCAAGUUUUUUCCAGUCGUUUAUACAAUAUGGAAAUUAAUGUGAAAUUAAAACACAAAGUAUUAAUAGAAAGGUAAUGACUGUCCUGUGUAGGUGACAGUGAUAUCCAAUAGGCUAGGCACUCACGAGGCUGGCUGUGGCAAGUGUAAGUGAAAGCAACACGCACUGGCAGGAAGAACAGCAAACGCAGAUGAAGGAAAAGGGUCUUUGCAGUGAUGGGCGUUACCAGAGAGGGCGAUGGCCAGAGGACACAAAUGGGACGGGGAGGAAGCACGUUGGGGGGGGGGGGGGGGACGCGACACGGCGCGGGCCCGCCAGUGCCCCAACGGGGUCCUAGUUAUUAUUAUUAUUAUUUUUCCUCCCCUUUGAACUGGAAAAUGGCCCACUUCCCACUGGCGAAAACUCAUGAAAUUUGGCAGGACGACCGGGCCUGGUGAAAAAUUUGAUAUUCCGAAGUCGCCCAAACAAGAAAAUGCAAAAUGGCUCCAUAGCGCCCCCUAAGGUGAAAAUUCACACUAUUCACUGUCACGCCUGUACGCUUUGUCAAAAUGACACAAAAAUUGACACACACAUGUAUCUCAAUAAGAUCUACAAAAAAGUCAGUGCGGGCGUAUCUGUCAAAUGUACGGUUAAAGGGUUAUUUCGCAUUUUUUGCCGAUCCGCACACAUUGGAAUGUGGCUAACUCCUCCGAAGGCUUUCGUUCCACCGGCACCACAUUUGCUCAGGCCAAUCUACACCUCGUGGCCAUUAAAAGUUAUCAAAAUCAUGACGCUGCACCCCACGGUUUAGGUUCUAGGGGGCGCCAAAGAUAACCCUAAAAUCCACAUAUUUAAAAGUCUUAUAACUUUUUAUUUUUGUCCUCUCUGGCCUCCAAGUUUUCUAGGAUGAUGCAAUGUCCAGCCAUCAACACAUUUGUGAAGGAAUUUUUACUCCCCAAAAGAGCGCCCCCCCAUGGCAGGAGAAAAAGUCAAGUUUUUCCUGCCCAUCGCUCAAUGGCUCAAACGCAUCGCUCUCUCGGCAAAACCGAAAGGAGGAGCAACUUGCCAUUUGGAUAUAUACUAGCUGUGUUUGUGCCCUCACUCAUGGUCCAGACUUUUUUCAAAAAGGACAUGGAGUUUGUCUGCAGCGAGCGUUUUGGUAGAAACUGCGCCUCCCAUUCAUUAUAAUGGUAAAUGACCACAGACAAGUGCGCACACCAUCUUUGGACCUUGAGUGUGACGCGAUCGGGAGGGGUAGGCGGUCGCGCUGGGGGCGGCGCGACACGGCUCGGGCCCGCCAGUGCCCCAACGGGGCCCUAGUUAUUAUUAUUUUUCCUCCGCUUUAAACUGGAAAAUGGCCCACUUCCCACUGGCGAAAACUCAUGAAAUUUGGCAGGACGACCGGGCCUGGUGAAAAAUUCGAUAUUCUGAAGUCGCCCAAACAAGAAAAUGCAAAAUGGCUCCAUAGCGCCCCCUAAGGUGAAAAUUCACACUAUUGACUGUCACGCCUGUACGCUUUGUCAUAUUGACACAAAAAUUGACACACACAUGUAUCUCAAUAAGAUCUACAAAAAAGUCAGUGCGGGCGUAUCUGUCAAAUGUACGGUUAAAGGGUUAUUUUGCAUUUUUUGCAGAUCCGCACACAUUGGAAUUUCGCUAACUCCUCCGAAGGCUUUCGUUCCACCGGCACCACAUUUGCUCAGGCCAAUCUACACUCCAUGGCCAUUCAAAGUUGUACAAAUCAUAAUGCUGCACCCCAUGGUUUAGGUUCUAGGGGGCGCCAAAAAUAACCCAAAAAUCCACAUUCUUAAAAGUUUUAUAAAUUUUUUUUUUUGUCCUCACUGGCCUCCAAGUUUUCUAGGAUGAUGCAAUGUCCAGCCAUCAACACAUUUGUGAAGGAAUUUUUACUCCCCAAAAGAGCGCCCCCCCAUGGCAGGAAUAAAAAGUCCAUUUUUUCUUGUCCCCUAAGGUGAAAAUACACAUUGUUGAGUGUCACGCCUGUACGCUUUGUCAUAUUGAC